rnacentral:rRNA from 1 species
UACGUAGGGGGCAAGCGUUGUCCGGAUUUAUUUGGGCGUAAAGAGCGUGUAGGCGGCCAGGUAGGUCGGUUGUGAAAACUGGAGGCUACAACCUUCAGAGGUCGACCGAAACCAUCUGGCUAGAGUCCGGGAGAGGAGAGUGGAAUUCCGUGGAUGUAGCGGUGAAAUGCGCAGAUAUCAGGAAGAACACCCGUGGCGGAAAGCGGCUCUCUGGAACGGUACUGGACGCUGAGACGCGAAAGCGUGGGGAGCGAACAGG